GAUGAACGCUGGCGGCGUGCCUAGUACAUGCAAGUCGAGCGAACAGACGAGGAGCUUGCUCCUCUGACGUUAGCGGCGGACGGGUGAGUAACACGUGGAUAACCUACCUAUAAGACUGGGAUAACUUCGGGAAACCGGAGCUAAUACCGGAUAAUAUAUUGAACCGCAUGGUUCAAUAGUGAAAGACGGUUUUGCUGCCACUUAUAGAUGGAUCCGCGCCGCAUUAGCUAGUUGGUAAGGUAACGGCUUACCAAGGCAACGAUGCGUAGCCGACCUGAGAGGGUGAUCGGCCACACUGGAACUGAGACACGGUCCAGACUCCUACGGGAGGCAGCAGUAGGGAAUCUUCCGCAAUGGGCGAAAGCCUGACGGAGCAACGCCGCGUGAGUGAUGAAGGUCUUCGGAUCGUAAAACUCUGUUAUUAGGGAAGAACAAAUGUGUAAGUAACUAUGCACGUCUUGACGGUACCUAAUCAGAAAGCCACGGCUAACUACGUG
rnacentral:rRNA from 1 species